AGAGUUUGAUCCUGGCUCAGGACUAACGCUGGCGGCGUGCCUAAUACAUGCAAGUCGAACGGUCAUGCAUUUGUAGCAAUAUGAGCGCAUGGUAGUGGCGAACGGGUGAGUAACACGUGGAUAACCUACCUUUAUGUGGGGGAUAACUCCGGGAAACUGGGGCUAAUACCGCAUGACAUCAUUCUGGGGCAUCUCAGGAUGAUCAAAGACGUAAGUCGCAAGAAGAUGGAUCCGCGUCCCAUCAGCUAGUUGGCGGGGUAAUGGCCCACCAAGGCUUUGACGGGUAGCCGGACUGAGAGGUCGAUCGGCCACAAGGGGACUGAGACACGGCCCCUACUCCUACGGGAGGCAGCAGUAGGGAAUUUUGGUCAAUGGGGGAAACCCUGAACCAGCGACGCCGCGUGGGUGAUGAAAUCCUUCGGGAUGUAAAACCCUUUUCAUCGGGACGAAAUAAAAAUGACGGUACCGGUGGAAUAAGCCUCGGCUAACUCCGUGCCAGCAGCCGCGGUAAUACGGGGGAGGCAAGCGUUGUCCGGAAUCACUGGGUGUAAAGGGCGUGUAGGCGGGCCUUUAAGUCGAUCUGUUAAAUCUCUCCGCUCAACGGAGAAACUGCAGUCGAUACUAUUGGCCUUGAGUGCGGAAGGGGAGAAUGGAAUUCCUGGUGUA
rnacentral:rRNA from 1 species